AGAGGAAGAAGAUCCACAGUGGAAUUGUUUGUGUGGGAGAGAGAGAGAAAGAAGAGGCGGAUUCCCUGCACUCCUUCCCAGGAGAUCCUGGAAGGAAGGGUUCCGAGAUGGGCGGCAGGAGCGACAGAGGAACUUGGAGCUGCGUCGGAAUUGCACCUGUUUCUUGCCACGGUUUUUGUGUUCCCGGUGGGAGGGCGGCGAGGAGGAAAAGGUGCCUGGCGAGUGGCGACAGAGAGGAAGAGGAGGAUGUGCUUGCUUGCUUUUAUCGAAGGAGAGGCGGUCUGGUCUCCCUGCCUUUUAUUUUGCAGCUUUGGGGAGAAGAGGAAGGCGCGCCUGGGAGGUUCAAGGGCUGCUUUGUUGAACUUUUCCUCCCAUUUUCUCAAUCCUAACUCUGCUGUGUCAUCAUGAAGAGACAUUAUCAGCUUGGCGCCCGAGAAGCUGAUUUCAUCGACUGAAGAACAAUGUAUUUGGUAGUUUCCAAGGCAACUACCAUUUAAAAAAUCCCAAAACGACAGAAGGCUCUUGUGUGAGGCGAAAGGUUGUGUACACUUCUUUCAUCUACUCCAUUUUCCCUUUUUUGGAAAACAAAUUGUUUUGUUUCUUCUCAAGAACGUUUCCAUUUUUUACCACUUUGGCACUGAGAAACUUUGAAGUCUAGCCAGGAGGUUGAUUAUACAAUGAAGAAUUGGACCUAAUCUCAUGGGUUAUCACAAGGAAAUGGCCUAAUGGGAGGAAGAAUGCCUGUUAAAUCUUCAACCUUGAAAGAGAAGAAGCUGCAGGUAUCUCCAUGGAUGAGGUCAUUCCUUGAAAAUGAUCCCAGAUCUUCUAUUGCCUUCUAGAUCCAGGCUGAUUUAUGACUCCUUCAACCAGGUGUUUCUCCAACCUGCCUUGAUUUUCAACAAUGGUAGCUUCUCCAUACACUCCUAAACAAGCUGUUUUACCUCAUUACCUGAUUGUUCCUAAUUUCUAAACUUUGGAACUCAUUUUAUUUUGCCCACACUUUACCAAAAGAUCUGAUUAUCAUUUUCUUAAAGACAAUCCAAUAUAUUAUGAUUUCUUCUCUGUCUUCUCCAAAUUAAGCAAGUUUCUGACUCUUUCAAACUUCCAUCACAAUGCCCUGCUAUUGCGGUUCAGGAGUGUAUAUGGCCAUGUGCUUGUUGCUAUGGCCUACUAUUGUGAUGUGGCUUGUGUUGUGGAGCAGCUCGGUGGAGUAAAUUCCUGUUUUCCACUAGUCAGAAAGACUACUUUUGGUUGGAGUUCGGAGAAGGACUUGGACAGCUUAGAAGAUAAUGGUGGAGGUCCAGCCUUUUGUGCUACUAAAGAGAGAACAUGCAAACGAAACCCUGGGUGUGGCGAAGCCGUUGCCUCGGAUCCGAUCUGUCAUUUGGAUUAUGCACUCUUCAUUUGCUCCAUCGUAAUUACUCUCCCCACCAAGUGCAUCCAGUGAAACCAUAUGAAGGCAGGACUUUGGUACAGUUGCUUUGAAUGCACCUUAAAGACCUGGAUGACGACAUCUGGAACAUUGCCCAAAAAGAAGCUAAGACAGGAAAUGAAUGAAGAACCUGAGAGUGGAAUUAACACCUGAAAUCUACAUGGAACUCCAUAAGUUUGGCAAAACCGUGCAACUGUUUGCUCUGUGAGGAAUACUCUUGCUAAAUGGAGGCAAGCUGCAAAAAAGUCAUCUGCUACUAAGAAAGAGAGAAACCUUUUUUACCCUUUCCAUAUGGAUUGUGCCUUUUUUCCAUUUCCAAAACAAAGACAUACGAAGCUUAUUGGUGAGAGUGUUGUAAAAGCUUUAAAUUAUAUUAUGGGGAGGAAGAAAUGGGGGAAAGAGGAGGAAUUGAUUUAAAAAACUGAUGCUAAGCAAUCGGGAAUCUACAAACAGAAAUCUACCAGGUUUUGUUACCAGAUCUCUGAAACAGGAAUUAAGAAAGAGGAAUCUACCUCCAAGUUCUUCUUACCUUGGAGAUAAGUUAUUCUUACCUUAUGAUCUAUGCUCAUAAGAAACUAACUGGCUGCUACUUCCCGGCGGAUAUCAGUUCUGUAAUACCGGCUAAACAGCAUAAUUUUUCCAGUGGUGUAGGGCGUAGACAUCCUGUGAUAAUGCAGCAUGUCUCAUUAAGAGCCACAUCCACUGUUUUAACAUGGUGAGAUGUAUUCCAUAGUGGACAUGCUUACUCAGCAGCAGAGUAGCAAAGCACAAGGGCAGAUGUUUUCACUGUAUCUGGUUGUAAUCCCUAGGUUGUACCAGUCAGCUUUUGUGUUAUAUUAUUUCUAGCACCCACUUUUUGCUUGAAAGUCAAGCAGUGCUUCUUGUAAAUCAGAGCACGAUCCAGAGUGACUCCCAGAUAUUUUGGUGUGCUGUAAUGUUCCAGUGGGAUUAUUUAUUUAUUAUUUAUUUACAGCAUUUAUAUUCCGCCCUUCUCACCCCGAAGGGGACUCACAUUACACAUAUAGGCAAACAUUCAAUGCCUUUUAAUAUAGAACAAAGACAAGACAAACACAGGCUCCGAGUGGGCCUCGAACUCAUAACCUCCUGGUCAGAGUGAUUCAUUGCAGCUGGUUGCAGCUGGCUUGCUCUCCAGCCUGAGCCACAGCCCGGGCCUAUAUAUAACUCAUUUCAGUGUAAUUGUGGGACACUAUCAAGGCAUGGGCAUCUCUGACCCAUUCUCUGUUCGGAUAUCAGCCAGCGUGCCAAUGACUUUUUUUUAAUACAUCAUAGCUGUAUUCCUAAUUUGCUUCUGACAUAAAUAUGAAUACUGUUAUAUGCAAGCCCACCUUACACUUGUGUGUGCCAUUUUUGUUUUUGCAGUGGCUGAUGUUCUUUACCAUCUUCUGAAAAUAAAUAUUUUUAAAAAUCUUACACUGUGCUUGAUCAUGUAGGAUCUUGCCCAUUGAACCAAUGGGGUUUUCUUAAGUACAUUCAGCAAACAACUGUCUCGUUCUGAUUAGGAAUAGCAAUUGGAUUUGGUGUUAGCUCUUACUUUUGUUGGCCUUUUCAAUGAGAAAUAUCUAUAGCCCUGCUCAGGUCUUGCAGACUCAGGGCAGUAGUUUGUUUAUAUCCUGCUUUCCUCUGUUAAACAAGACUGAAAACAGCUUAUAAAACUCAAAGCUGUACAAAUUCCAAUUUAAAGCCAACAACAUUUAAACAUUAACAUAGAAUUAAACAUAGAAAUAAGAAAUUAAACUAAAGAUCUAAUAUAAAAUACAGGUUUUGAGGAGACUAGGGCAAGGGUGGGAGUCAUGCACCCUUCCAGAUGAUGUGCAAUUGCAAUUCCCAGCAGUAGAGCAAGUGGAUGAUGGGAGUUGCCAUUCAGCAGUAACUGGAGAACUGCAUGAUUCUCAGGUAUGCAUUCGAAAGAAGAGAGCAAUUUUGUAGAGACGUUUGAGGGUGGAAUAUCUUGUCCCUUGUUUCUUCUCAAAGCAUAUUUCAGCCCCCACAAGAAACCAAGAACGUGUCUCUUUAAUAUAGAUAUAUAACAGGAAUAGGGAGUUUCAACAGGUGCGGUUUGUGGAACGAGCUGCACCUGCUGAAAUUCCCCCCAUAUAUGCAGUUAUUACUGGAGGACAGAGUUCAGCUGGAUAUUGUAAUAAACUCCUUCAUGCUGAGAAAAGCUUGAAAAUGGGAUCAGUGACCCGGAAGUAUGGUGAAGAUUUUGUCUGCUGGGGAUACUUAACACUUCUUCAUCAACUAGGAGGUUGGACUUUCUUUUAUAUGGGUCCUUGCAGAUCUUACCAUUCUGUGAUUCAUGCCAUAAUGAGAAUUGUCAACGUAGGAUGUGUCUACAUUGUACAAUUAAUGCAAUUUAACACCUUAACUGCUAGGGCUCAACAUUUUAGUUUUGCAAAGUCUUCAGCAUUCUCUGCCAAGGAGUGGUGCUCACCAAACUACAGCUCCUAGAAUUCCGUAACAUUAAUCCAUGGCAGCUAAAGUGGUGCCAAACUGCGUUAAUUUAGCAGUGUAGAUUGCUGGAACCCUCGGAGGUGGUUUAUGAAGCAGAGGUUGAAGGCAACAGUACAAUGGACCCAAGUUGUGCCCAUUUCUUUAAAACCUAAAUUGAGUCAUUUGAUGUAAGUGCAUCAGAAUAAUUGUCUAUGGCAGAGGCUCGCUUUGGCCAUUAUUGCAAGAUCGCAGAAGAAAGAAAUCACCCUAUAAUUUGCAAACCACAUUUGCACAUCCCACAACCAAGGAGAAAGUGAGAGAAAGGAAUGCAACUGUGAGGAUAUUAUUGAAACAUUUCAUGUGGAAAAGCUGUCCUUUCAAGUAGCCUUACCAAGAGGUUGCCGGUUGGAGUUUUGUGAUUAAUCUUGAAGUCAUCGCCUUCAGAAUGUUGUUUUAAGUUUGCCAAAGGAAAUUGAUGGAUUACUCCUCACUUAGAAGAAAUCCCUGUGGCUGGGAAUGGAGAAAAAUUGCCCAGGGGCAAGAGACCUUGAAUUUGUUUUAGGCUUAACAGGUUGCAAGAUAAGAGUGUGAUCAAAGGAAUAAAUCAGUCCAGAAAGAAAGAAAACUACCAAGGAGAAGCUCAGCUCCAGAGAUACUUUUAAAGCAAAGCCAGGAUACACCCAGAUCUGGAUUGUGACCGAUAGGCAGGCCUUUUGGUUUUCGGUCAAGGUCUUGCCUCUCCUAAACUGCAAGGUGUCUUUCAUGAUGGUUGGUAAUGUAUAUCUUCUGUUUCUGACAUGCCUUGCUGUCUUUAGCAGAUUUUGGCAUGGGUCUGUGAUAAUGUCAACACCCACAAGCCAUUUGCCAGUAUGAACCAAAAACAAAAAGGAACGAGGAGGUUCUUGGCUUGGACGUAGAUAGCCAGCAAGCUGAUUGGUAACACAGAUGAAUGAAGAGGCUACAUAGGCUGGAAGUCAAUAGCUACGGUAGAUCACUACUUGGUAGUGUAACUAGCCCACUGACUACUGAUAGAUGUUUUGUUUCCCAGAUCUUUGGACUUCAACUUCCAGCGAACUCAUGGUCUGAGACUUGGAGUUCAAAAUAAGUGGAGAACCAAAAGUUGAGAGCUGCUGACUUGGAGACACAUUCAAAUUAUAGUUCUACUGGAAACUAAAAUGUCUAGAGGAGCAAAUUUCAUCCAUUAUGCUUUCUGAGAUAUUUUGGUCAUUGACUGUCAGAAAAAUACUGAGUUAUAUGGGCAUAUUAUUUUUGGUCCAGUUUAGUACUAGUGUUCUUAACUCAUAAGUAUCACAGUUGGCUCUCCACAUUCAUGGGCUUAACCACAGCUGCUAUAGAGAUAGGGAUUUUGAAUGGCUCCUUUUCUGGACCGCAACUCCAGUAUUCAUGUUUACUGGGGUUUUUGGAAAGCCUAGAAAAGAAACUUCUCCAGAUCCUUCCUUUUUCAGUUUGAGUGGAUUGUGUUCUGCUUAGGUUCCUCCUUGAGCUUCAGGAGGAAAUGGGAGAUGGUUCGGCUUUCUCAUUCAUGGUUGCCUCUGCGGUCAUACGAAAAGGAAACGUCUUUUUCUUUAAAAACCCAAACAUGUGCUCACAUCUCUCUCUCUUUUUUUCUAGGUCAAGCAGUGGCCUCAUUCCUCACCAGAAGGAAGUCCGUCUGGAGCUCCCUCAGGAAGCUGGUUUCAUAUGGUGGUUUAGAUUUAAGUACACAAUGUCUAGCACCAUUUGAAAUCAGUGCUCUUGGAGGAAGAAUGGCAGCUCUUUCAGUCUCCCCAGGAAGCCACCGGGGCUUCCAAGGCGAAGGGGGAUUUAAGGCAUCUGAUAAAGUGUGUUUUUUAGCAGCAACCACUUAAGAAAUAUUUACGGCCUACAUUUUAACAAAUAGCUUUGACAGCAAAAUAGAAGGAAGAGCAAAAAAAAAAAAGAACAACCCAAACAAUUUACUUAGAGCAACCACAAAAAAUAAAUGAAUCUUCUCUUAGGAAUUGGCUACGUGUGAGAAGUUAAAUGAUUUCAUUUGUACCAAGAUGCGGUUUAUAGUAGCAAUAUAAUGAUCCUCAUUGAAGCAGAAUUUGGGUUUGGGUAUAAUUGUGAAAAAUCAUACCCCAGUGUUUUAUGUGCUUCUUACAGAUGCAAACUGUUCAUAAUCAUGCAAUGUUUUAAAAAAGGGGGAAUGUAUAGGAUAUAAAGAGAGGCUAGGUAUAAAGAUUAAUAUGACUAUCUCAAAAAAAUAUUUGUUUAAAAAUGACCUCUAUUAAAUACAUAUCCGUGCAUAAUUGAAGCAUAACUGACGUACUCAGCCUUGAACAAUGGAUAGUAAAGAGGUACCUUUCAGAUUUCAGGAUACAGUCUUUUGGCAAUAGGUGAAGCAUGGAAGAUCCAACAAAGGGUGCAGGAAUGUAUUUUAAAGGAACAUCUCCAUCUAGAAACAACAACGAUUUUAAUGCAACAAUAGCAUGUUAUGACACGUCUUGCCAAAAGUCCCAAAAUAUAGCCACGUCACAUGGCAUAAGGCCUAUGACUCGUAUAUGGCUUCUUAGAAAAAUCAGUUAUUGACAUAUUUUGUCUGUAAAAAUAAGAUGUGAAAUUCUAAGAAUCUUCUUGUUUGCAUGGAGAAGCACAGUGUAAAGUGAGUGGGAACAAAGAGUGAAUCAGCUUGACCCCGCAAAGGAGAAAUUGUUUUCAGAAUAAAAUAACUGUUCUGCAGUAGCUCAAAGGAAACUGAUUUGGUUGAACAUAAAGCAAUCACGCUUUUGUCAGCAGCUUGCAUCUCCGAUUGAGCUGUGCAAGUAUUUUAAUUCCACCAGUGAGUCUGCUUUUUAUUUCAUUUGUUGAAUGAGGAAAAAUCCCAUUAUAUUAGUCUAAUGAAACUUAAUUGUGCCUAACAGAAUGGAUGUGCUCUUUUAAAAUAAGAUGCUUACAAGAUUCCUUGUGUAUAUUAAAUUAGGAGCGUCAGCCUUUGGCUCCGUAGAGUCCGGUCACCCCUUUAAAGGAUGACUGAUUUCUUCUGGUGUUCGGAGUCUAGUUCUCUUUCUAGCACCAUUUGAAAUCGGUUAUAGUGAUUGGGGAAUAUCACCAUGGAAGCAGGCUGGAACGGCGGAGUGUAGAAAUAAAGACGUUGCUUCUUUCAGCCAUCACAGCUGGAAGGGCAGGACAAGGCUUGAAGUCCUAACUCUGCAGUGGACUAUAUGGAGGAGCAAAGAAGAAAGAAGAAGAUGCUGAAUUGGGGCUGGAUGUAUCAUUCCCCCCCCCUCCCCAAAAUAAAGAAACUGAAGUUUACCUCGCAGAGCUGGUGUAUGGUCUAAUACAAUAAAAGUUGCAGUGCUCUUUGCAAACCAAACAUUUGAUAAUAAUUGCUGUCAGCCAACUUUGAGAUGACUAUGAAUGGGAGUUCUCCAGGUCAUCUAUUCAUAUGAAUGGCUUGGAGGUCUCCCAUUCAUAUGAGAUGAUUAUGAAUAAUGAGAUUCAUUUUCAGAUGACCUAUUUGUAUGAGAUGACUUUUCAUAUGAGAUGAUUAUGAAUGGGAGACCUCCAAGUCAAUUCAUUCAUCUUGAACAGCUCUUUGCUACUGCCUUCCAUUAUAGAAAAGCAUUAUUGUCUUUUCUAGCGAGUCAUGUCGUCUUAUGAUACAUCUCAAAUAUAACAGCGUAAUUGAAUCCUUGAGUUGGAAGAGACCCCAAUGACCAUCCAGUCCAGCCCCAUUCUGCCAUGUAGAAAUAACCAAAGUAUUCCCAACAGUUUAACCUCUUGGCUGCUAGAGAGAGCUCCAGCAUUUCUCAGAUACCUUAAACAACACCUGAAUCAUGGCCAUUGUGUGUGUAAGUCACCUGUCAAGUUAUGGUAACCAUUGAAUAUAAUGGGGGUUUUUAGACAAGAGGUACUCAGAUGUACUUUCGCCAGUUCCUCUAAAAUAAGAGCCUAUAGCACUUAUUCAUUGGUGGUCUUCCGUCCAAGUACUAACCCUUCUUAGCUUCCACAAUCGGAUAGUUGUCUUGUGCCUUUAGGAUAUUUAAGAUCAUUAAGGGAUUUGUAUUUCUGAAAGUCUAGAAGGCAAUUGAGAUCGCUCCUUAUUUUCUACUCUGGCUGGCAGGGGCUGCUAGUUGUUUUUUUAUCUGCAUCCUCUAUUUGUUUGCUUUGCUGGAAUUACUGGGGAAUUAUGAAUGCUACCUGCAUUAGAGGAAUGUGCUUUACCACCGAGUUACCAUCACUCUUUCCUCCCAAGUAAAAUCUGAGUGUGUGGCGUC